GGACAUAAAGAAUAAAAGCAGAACCCCACUCUAAAGUAAAGGAAAGAUUAGUCUCAUGUUCAGUUUUAUUUGUAAUUACUAGUUAAAAGGUAUUGUUCUUUACACAUGCACAGUUUUGCUGAGUUUUGAUACUGUUUUGUUAGCUGUCUAAAUGUGUCUGUUUAUUACAUUAUAGUGUGUGGACUGUUUAGACAUCAGGUAUCCAAUUAUGUUUUGUUGUAAGAUCACUUUUUUGUGCUCUAUUGAUUUUGCCUCUUCAGAUGACUGCUUCAGCACCUGAACGCAUGUCCUCACAUACAGAGGAGCCUACAAGAAAGAUGCUUGAAAUUGUGAACUCAAGACCUGAACCGAAGGCCUUACAGACGUAAUUGCCAACAAGAAAGAGUCUGAUAGAUGCUGAAAGUGAGCUUUGUGCAGCCUCCGAAAAAGAGAUCUGUGCUCAUUGAGGAAAUGGUGUCAGCACUUAAAGAGUUACUAACUGCCCACUUGUCUGACCCAAUACCAAUGGAUGUUGGACCUUCAGGAUCUCAUGUCCCUUGUCGGCCUGAUGGAAGUUUCUGGAAGUCAGCCUUCCCCAUCACCCACCACAGUUCAGCUGCCCAUCAUGCAGUUCAAUCUCCUGCAUUGGACUAUCGGUUCACUCUCCACUACUGAUUGCAUCGAAGUUUACAUGAACUCUAAAUGCUUUAAUUACUCAAGUUGCUAUACACAUGGAUAUAUUACCUUUGUAAAUAAUAUUGAUUUGAUUUGACUUAAAACAUGCGUAAACAUGCGUUUAACUGCGUAAAA